CACACAAAAUUACCUUUUAAUACCAGGUAUAAAGCUCUUUGGCCUUGCUUCAACUAAUUACAUGAUGGGUAAUUCCAAUAAAGCCACCUAGCUUAUUCAUUCAGAUGGUAAACUAAGACAUUUUUAAAGAAUUAGAUUUCAGUAUCCCUGCAAUUAAAAAAGUCAGCAUUAGACAUGAGGUGAGAACUACUCCCAGUACGGUAAAUUCACGUACUAAACACGCUAAACACUAAGAAAGAAAAUAUUUCCUGAAAGUAAAUACAAUUAAACCACAUUCUGAGAUUUAUCAACUAAGCAAUAAACUCAACUCUCCCACGCGUUAUUAAUCCGUCACUACUGUAUAUUAUAUAUAUAUUUGGAAGUCAUAAUAACUGCUGGGAAAAGGAUCUUGGUGUUGUUUUUUUUACCUUUUAAAUUACCUAAGUGCAUACUUCAGACAUAUUUUAAUGGAGUCAUUCGUAGAAUAAAUAGGAAAUGUAUAUCCAAUAUGGUCAUAAAAAGCCAUUUCUCCCCUUACUAAGGACCCUCUUGCUUCCUCUGUCCCCCACCACAUCCCACAGAUGUGAAGUAGAUUACCGCCCCCCUUUACGCCUCCUUUUGCCUGCCCCUCUUUCCACUGCGAAGAAAGAAAUCAUUCAGUUUCAGCCUUUUUUUUCUACAAACAUCCCCCUCCCCUACCUUCCCCUCCCAACAGCAGACAGGGGCACACAGACGACCACACUCUCAAGCCAAACCCUAAUUGUGUGUGCGUGUGUCUGCAUUUUUUUCCCUGACAUGAAGAAGGAAACCAAGUGAGUAUUUGUUCUCUGUGCUUGUGAAUGGUGGUGCUGAGCCUUUUGAGUCGUUCUGCUUGACUGAAAUAGUGGAGGUGGCAGAAGUUAGCUGUAAGAAAUUGCUGGAGUUGGGUUAACAUGUGGCGCUGUUGGAUGCCCUUCAUCUUGGCCUGGGUAUCCAUGGCAACCCUAACCCUCUGCCAAAGUGGAGAUUGGGGUUCAGGCUUUGACAUCUACUCAGCGGUAAUGGCCCCCAACGACACAACGCAGGCAAUUGGUGAUGAGCCUGUGAGGAUGACAGACAACCGAGACUGGAUCACAUCAGCAGCUUUCUCACCAUCAUCCUCACCUACGCUGCGGUACGAGCCUCAGCCGGACAAGUGCUCGGUCCACUUCAGCACUAACAACGCUUCACCUCGAAGGCUCAAGGCCCAGAAAGAGGAGCUGGCGUAUCUGCAGGCCAUCCAGCAUGGAAACAAAGCGGUGAUGGAGAACUUGGCGCAGUUUGUGGGGGCAGAGCUGGGAGAUCAGCGCUAUGAAGAUGUGAUUAAGGAAAACAUAAUUGGCAUCCAAGAGGACCAGAAGAGUUGCCAUGAGGUGGUAGAGAAAGCUGAAGAAGAUCUAGAAACGCAAUUGGAGGGGGAAGUGUCAGGCGCCCGUGCUGGGAUGCAGAAAAUCAGAGAAGAGUCCUUGGCCUUCGAAGACAUGCUCCGCGCUGCAGCAGACAUUGCCAACCGGCUGGAGAUCUCAUCGCAGGCCCUGCAUGCUUCAUUCACCAAGCAGCUGAAAGACAUUGCCAAAGUUCAGCGCUAAAGAAGUGUUGAAAAGACCUUGCACACUGCGCACAAGUCAUCAACUUGUGAAUAAUGUUUGGUACGCUGUGGGAGAAAUAAACCUUCCUGCACUUAUAUAUAUGUUUUUUUAUUAACUUAACUAGAAGUGCUUUAUAGCACUGAGAUACACCAAUGUGUCAAGGUCAGCCAUUACAUCAACUGUUGGUAAUCUCACAUCAUGUGAAAGAUGAACACAACAAAACAGAAUUGUUGGAUAAAAAAACAUUUCUCUCUCUAUGAAGUUACAACCCCGUAACCCAUAAAAUAUUAUUUUCCAUCUGGGCAUUAUUUGUGGAAUUUGGUGAGGUCAGAUGUGGCAACAGUAUGUGGUGCAGGUUUAAGCCAAGUUGAGUGUUUAUGGAUCAAACUAGAUUGGCCCUCAGAGAGCAAACAUAACGGCUCUGUUAGUCUUCUCCAGAGGAAGUCAUGCAUCAGCCAUCUGGUUCCAGGGUGAGGAUGGAGCCCAGGACAGGAUGACUAGUGUGUUCCAAUGGAUAUUUUGUUUUUGCAACAAAAAAAAAAAGACAAAACUGCAACUGAGAUAUCAUUGUUAUAAAGCAAUGUUAUCUGUUUGGAGAAAAUUGCAAUAACCUGUGGAUGAGGGAAAAGCUAUUGUAAGAAAAAUUAGACAAUGCCUGUGAUAAGGAAGAAAGAGGCAGGAAAACACACCACAAGAAAACCUGAUGAAGCUCUUAAAACAGAGAAACUCUGAAUCUGCACAUUGUUUAAACGUUUCCUUGAUUUCCAGAUUUAACACAGAACAUAAACCUUAGGAUCUAAAAAAGAAGACUAUUCGUGGGUCUCAGCUGGAUUUACCCAUUCAAACGUGAGAAUCAUGCUUGUCCAGCUCCAUUGACCCAGUCUCUCUUUUCACCCUGACAGGACCCAUGAGUGAGAAUACUUUCAUGUUUGUAAUCAUAAAAUGUGUAAUAAUAUGAAUUUGUACAAUGUAUGAAAUGAAAUAUGUUUUAUCUAGUAAACAGCAACAAACAAGAAGUUCUUCUGAUGUGUUUUUUCUGAAAGAUUACAAAUUUUCUGCAUUUGUUGCCAUGAUUUCAAAUCUUCGGUUCAUAGCAAUAUUUUAGGCGAACUAAAACUUCAUUAAGCAUAUUAUUUCACCUAGUCUGCCCUCUAGCUGUUUCCCA
rnacentral:lncRNA from 15 species